rnacentral:lncRNA from 11 species
CUUGGCUGUAGUUGAGGACUGCUGCCAUUCAGCUGAGGAGGUCUAUUCGGUUGGACCAAAGAAGGACCAAUAUGUAAGAGCAUUCAGAAAAUGGCAUAAAAGAGUUGGGAGUUCAACUGGCAGUUCGCUGAGAGCAACUUCCAGAAAUUGCAGUCUGAACCUUCUGUUUGUGUAACCUUGUCAUGGGCCUUGACCCUGAUUGAACUGACCAUGCUUUGAACUAUGACUUGUAUUUGGUGAAACUACUUAUCUUGGACUGAACUUUGACAAUCCCUCUGCUUUGCCUUUGUUGGACUGAUUUCUGUUGCUGACCACAGACUGUUUGACAUUGAGGUAGCAAGUGGCAGUGUUUGCAAGGACUGGCCAUACAGAUCAUAACAAAUUCCUGUUUGGAAUCAAUCCAGAGGUUCCAUGUGGUCCCAGAAUGUUAUGGCUGUCAAGUGCUUAGAUAUGUCAUGGAGAAUUUUCAGGAGAAAUAAUGUGAAAAGACUGGUGUCAGUGGAAAAUUCACCCAACACCUCCACUCCCUUGAAACAUUCAGCAGAGAAAAUUCCAUGUUAAGAAUUUGCAUGGCAUUUUGCAAUAAAGUCGCUCAGAUCCGUUCCGACU